AGCUGCAACGGUAGAAGACUGAGAAAUCAGAGCCGGAGCGGAGGGCCACCGCUUGGUGCUUUUGGGGUCCGGCGGUGUUCUCAAAAGUGAUGUCACGAGCUAUGAAUCCAUCACCAACGACGGCUGAAAGAAGAAACAAACGAACGAUGUGAGCAGUCAAAUGAUAGGUUGAAAACAAGGAAAAAGCAAAAGCACUAAUUUUUUUCUCACGUUUUUACUGUUAUAUUUUCUCCUUUUAGUUGUGUAAAGAACUGUGGUGUUGGUGAAAUGGGAGACAUAAAAAUAUCCAACUAAUUAGAAAAAAAGAUAGUCGUGUUUUUACUAUUCAAAAAAGAAUAAAAGAACAAAUUGAGUGUAGAUAAUUUGCAAGAGUGUGUUUUAAUUUGUUAUUCAAAUCAUGUUUCCUUUUCCUCACUUUCUCCCUUAAUUUAGGAUAACUUUAUGUUUUUGUCUAAGUUUAGAAUGUGACUUUGAAAUAAUUUAUACAUGUUGCUUACCAAAUGUUGCUGUGCGAAAAGUUGUCGUAGUUUGAGCAUUCUUAUUACCAGUAACGACCGUGGCACCAAUUCCAUCUCCAAUUAACAUGAUAUUUCUAGCUGAUCUUUGAAUAUCAACAUUCUCAUUGUAAACUCCAGCUUUUACGUGUAUGACAGUUCUUUUGGCACCGCCAGCCGCCGCCACCGCCUCUGAUAUAGUCUUGAAGUUGCCAGAACCGUCUUGAGCCACCACAAUGUCAGCAUUUAACGGUGCACCGAUUUUUUGCAAGAGCUUUCGGUCGGAACCGGAAAGCCAAGUGGGGAAU
rnacentral:lncRNA from 1 species